UACGUAGGGGGCAAGCGUUGUCCGGAAUCAUUGGGCGUAAAGCGCGCGUAGGCGGCCCGGUAAGUCCGCUGUGAAAGUCGGGGGCUCAACCCUCGGAUGCCGGUGGAUACUGUCGGGCUAGAGUACGGAAGAGGCGAGUGGAAUUCCUGGUGUAGCGGUGAAAUGCGCAGAUAUCAAGGAGGAACACCGAUGGCGAAGGCAGCCCCCUGGGCUAGCACUGACGCUCAGGCACGAAAGCGUGGGGAGCAAACAGG
rnacentral:rRNA from 1 species